UAUUUCUACUUAAGUUGCUUGUAUGUUUAGUAUUGACUAAUAUCUUGUUUAGUUUGACAAUGUAAUGUGAGUGAUAAUUGUACUUGUUGUAAUGCAAGUGAAUAGAGAUGUGUAAGCUUUAUUUCUACAUACAUUUUAUAGAGUAAUGGAAGCAUUAAAAAAUCUGUUCUACAAAGUAUCCAAAGUCAAUAUUGUUCCAUACAAACAUAAUAUCCAAAGUCAAUGUUGUUCCAUACAAAUAUAGUAUCCACUGUCAAUGUUGUUCUAUACAAACAUAGUAUCCACAGUCAAUAUUGUUCCAUACAAACAUAGUAUCCACAGUCAAACCAAUACAAAGUCAAAAUGAUCCACAAAAGUAGAACCAAAUACAACACAUAUCUAUUCAAACCAAAACAACUGCUAUUCAAGUUUCAAACCAAUACAAACUCAAAACUAUUGCAUCAAGUUUCAUAUCUAUUCAAACCAAAAUAUUGCAUACAAAUCAUCCAAG
rnacentral:lncRNA from 1 species